UACGUAGGGACCGAGCGUUGUCCGGAUUCAUUGGGCGUAAAGAGCUCGUAGGCGGCUGUUCAAGUCGAACGUGAAAACUCGGAGCUCAACUCCGAGCCUGCGUUCGAUACUGGACGGCUAGAGUCUGGUAGGGGAUCUGGAAUUCCUGGUGUAGCGGUGGAAUGCGCAGAUAUCAGGAGGAACACCAGUGGCGAAGGCGACUACCUGGCCUGUUUCUUGACGCUGAGGCGCGAAAGCUAGGGAGCAAACGGG
rnacentral:rRNA from 1 species